rnacentral:rRNA from 1 species
CAGCACCUCAAGUGGUCAGGAUGAUUAUUGGGCCUAAAGCAUCCGUAGCCGGCGCUGUAAGUUUUCGGUUAAAUCUGUACGCUCAACGUACAGGCUGCCGGGAAUACUGCAGCGCUAGGGAGUGGGAGAGGUAGACGGUACUCGGUAGGAAGGGGUAAAAUCCCUUGAUCUAUUGAUGACCACCUGUGGCGAAGGCGGUCUACCAGAACACGUCCGACGGUGAGGGAUGAAAGCUGGGGGAGCAAACCGGAUUAGAUACCCGAGUAGUCC